UACGUAGGGAGCAAGCGUUGUUCGGAUUUACUGGGCGUAAAGGGCGCGUAGGCGGCGCGGUAAGUCACUUGUGAAAUCUCUGAGCUUAACUCAGAACGGCCAAGUGAUACUGCAGUGCUAGAGUGCAGAAGGGGCAGUCGGAAUUCUUGGUGUAGCAGUGAAAUGCGUAGAUAUCGUAAGGAAGACCAGUGGCGAAGGCGAGUCUCUGGACAGUUACUGACACUGAGGCACGAAGGCCAGGGGAGCAAACGGG
rnacentral:rRNA from 1 species